rnacentral:rRNA from 1 species
GACGAACGCUGGCGGCGUGCUUAACACAUGCAAGUCGAACGGUGAAGCGCCUUCCUUUUUGGUGGGUGUGGAUGAGUGGCGAACGGGUGAGUAACACGUGAGUAACCUGCCCCCUCCUUCUGGAUAACCGCAUGAAAGUGUGGCUAAUACGGGAUAUUCUGGGUCUGUCGCAUGAUGGGUCUGGGAAAGAUAUUGUUUCGGUGGGGGAUGGGCUCGCGGCCUAUCAGCUUGUUGGUGGGGUGAUGGCCUACCAAGGCGGUGACGGGUAGCCGGCCUGAGAGGGUGGACGGUCGGACUGGGACUGAGACACGGCCCAGACUCCUACGAGAGGCAGCAGUGGGGAAUAUUGCACAAUGGGCGCAAGCCUGAUGCAGCGACGCCGCGUGAGGGAUGGAGGCCUUCGGGUUGUGAACCUCUUUCGCCAGUGAAGCAGGCCUGCCUCGUUUGUGGGUGGGUUGACGGUAGCUGGAUAAGAAGCGCCGGCUAACUACGUG